rnacentral:rRNA from 1 species
UACGUAGGGGGCAAGCGUUGUCCGGAUUUAUUGGGCGUAAAGAGCGUGUAGGCGGCUAGGUAGGUCCGUUGUGAAAACUCGAGGCUCAACCUCGAGACGCCGGUGGAAACCAUCUAGCUAGAGUCCGGAAGAGGAGAGUGGAAUUCCUGGUGUAGCGGUGAAAUGCGCAGAUAUCAGGAGGAACACCCGUGGCGAAGGCGGCUCUCUGGGACGGUACUGACGCUGAGACGCGAAAGCGUGGGGAGCGAACAGG